GAGUAAGGCCAAGAAAUAUGGAAUCAACACUUUAUGCAUCUCUUGAAUAAUCUUCACUUCAGGUGUGAAGAGAUUGGGGAACAACCAAGGAACUAACGUUCCGAUAGUCCCUAAUACCAAACCAAAGAUAGCUCCUAUGAUCAAGAGUGACUUGAGUAGCAUCCGAGCCUUAUCCAGACUACGAUUCACUCCAUUUAUGAAUCCAGG
rnacentral:misc_RNA from 1 species